rnacentral:rRNA from 1 species
GAUGUGAAAGCCCUGGGCUCAACCUGGGAAUUGCACUGGAUACUGGCGGGCUAGAGUACGGGAGAGGAUGAUGGAAUUCCUGGUGUAGCAGUGAAAUGCGUAGAUAUCAGGAGGAACACCGGUGGCGAAGGCGGUCAUCUGGCCCGGUACUGACGCUCAGGCACGAAAGUGUGGGUAGCAAACA